GGGUUGUGAGGUUAAGUGACUAAGCGUACACGGUGGAUGCCUAGGCAGUCAGAGGCGAUGAAGGGCGUGCUAAUCUGCGAAAAGCGUCGGUAAGGUGAUAUGAACCGUUACAACCGGCGAUACCCGAAUGGGGAAACCCAGUGUGUUUCGACACACUAUCAUGUCAUGAAUACAUAGUGGCAUGAGGCGAACCGGGGGAACUGAAACAUCUAAGUACCCCGAGGAAAAGAAAUCAACCGAGAUUCCCCCAGUAGCGGCGAGCGAACGGGGAGGAGCCCAGAACCUGAAUCGGCUUGUGUGUUAGUGGAAGCGUCUGGAAAGUCGCGCAGCAAAGGGUGAUAGCCCCGUACACUAAAAUGCACAGGUCGUGAGUUCGAUGAGUAGGGCGGGACACGUGACAUCCUGUCUGAAUAUGGGGGGACCAUCCUCCAAGGCUAAAUACUCCUGACUGACCGAUAGUGAACCAGUACCGUGAGGGAAAGGCGAAAAGAACCCCGGCGAGGGGAGUGAAAUAGAACCUGAAACCGUGUACGUACAAGCAGUGGGAGCACCUUCGUGGUGUGACUGCGUACCUUUUGUAUAAUGGGUCAGCGACUUAUAUUUUGUAGCAAGGUUAACCGUAUAGGGGAGCCGUAGGGAAACCGAGUCUUAACUGGGCGAAUAGUUGCAAGGUAUAGACCCGAAACCCGGUGAUCUAGCCAUGGGCAGGUUGAAGGUUGGGUAACACUAACUGGAGGACCGAACCGACUAAUGUUGAAAAAUUAGCGGAUGACUUGUGGCUGGGGGUGAAAGGCCAAUCAAACCGGGAGAUAGCUGGUUCUCCCCGAAAGCUAUUUAGGUAGCGCCUCGUGAACUCAUCUUCGGGGGUAGAGCACUGUUUCGGCUAGGGGGCCAUCCCGGCUUACCAAACCGAUGCAAACUCCGAAUACCGAAGAAUGUUAUCACGGGAGACACACGGCGGGUGCUAACGUCCGUCGUGAAGAGGGAAACAACCCAGACCGCCAGCUAAGGUCCCAAAGUCAUGGUUAAGUGGGAAACGAUGUGGGAAGGCACAGACAGCCAGGAUGUUGGCUUAGAAGCAGCCAUCAUUUAAAGAAAGCGUAAUAGCUCACUGGUCGAGUCGGCCUGCGCGGAAGAUGUAACGGGGCUAAACCAUGCACCGAAGCUGCGGCAGCGACGCUUAGGCGUUGUUGGGUAGGGGAGCGUUCUGUAAGCCGUUGAAGGUGGCCUGUGAGGGUUGCUGGAGGUAUCAGAAGUGCGAAUGCUGACAUAAGUAACGAUAAAGCGGGUGAAAAGCCCGCUCGCCGGAAGACCAAGGGUUCCUGUCCAACGUUAAUCGGGGCAGGGUGAGUCGACCCCUAAGGCGAGGCUGAAAAGCGUAGUCGAUGGGAAACAGGUUAAUAUUCCUGUACUUGGUGUUACUGCGAAGGGGGGACGGAGAAGGCUAGGCUGGCCGGGCGACGGUUGUCCCGGUUUAAGCGUGUAGGGGGUGUGACCUGGUAAAUCCGGUUGCAUAUCAACCCUGAGGCGUGAUGACGAUGCACUACGGUGCAGAAGUAGUUGAUGCCCUGCUUCCAGGAAAAUCCUCUAAGCUCCAGGUAACAUUAAAUCGUACCCCAAACCGACACAGGUGGUCAGGUAGAGAAUACCAAGGCGCUUGAGAGAACUCGGGUGAAGGAACUAGGCAAAAUGGUGCCGUAACUUCGGGAGAAGGCACGCUGGCAUGUAGGUGAAGUCCCUUGCGGAUGGAGCUGAAGCCAGUCGAAGAUACCAGCUGGCUGCAACUGUUUAAUAAAAACACAGCACUGUGCAAACACGAAAGUGGACGUAUACGGUGUGACGCCUGCCCGGUGCUGGAAGGUUAAUUGAUGGGGUCAGCCGCAAGGCGAAGCUCUUGAUCGAAGCCCCAGUAAACGGCGGCCGUAACUAUAACGGUCCUAAGGUAGCGAAAUUCCUUGUCGGGUAAGUUCCGACCUGCACGAAUGGCGUAAUGAUGGCCAGGCUGUCUCCACCCGAGACUCAGUGAAAUUGAACUCGCUGUGAAGAUGCAGUGUACCCGCGGCAAGACGGAAAGACCCCGUGAACCUUUACUAUAGCUUGACACUGAACAUUGAGCCUUGAUGUGUAGGAUAGGUGGGAGGCUUUGAAGCGUGGACGCCAGUCUGCGUGGAGCCAUCCUUGAAAUACCACCCUUUAAUGUUUGAUGUUCUAACUCGGCCCCGUGAUCCGGGGUGAGGACAGUGUCUGGUGGGUAGUUUGACUGGGGCGGUCUCCUCCCAAAGAGUAACGGAGGAGCACGAAGGUUAGCUAAUCACGGUCGGACAUCGUGAGGUUAGUGCAAAGGCAUAAGCUAGCUUGACUGCGAGAGUGACGGCUCGAGCAGGUACGAAAGUAGGUCUUAGUGAUCCGGUGGUUCUGAAUGGAAGGGCCAUCGCUCAACGGAUAAAAGGUACUCCGGGGAUAACAGGCUGAUACCGCCCAAGAGUUCAUAUCGACGGCGGUGUUUGGCACCUCGAUGUCGGCUCAUCACAUCCUGGGGCUGAAGUAGGUCCCAAGGGUAUGGCUGUUCGCCAUUUAAAGUGGUACGCGAGCUGGGUUUAGAACGUCGUGAGACAGUUCGGUCCCUAUCUGCCGUGGGCGUUGGAAGAUUGAGAGGGGUUGCUCCUAGUACGAGAGGACCGGAGUGAACGCACCACUGGUGUUCGGGUUGUCAUGCCAAUGGCAUUGCCCGGUAGCUAAGUGCGGAAAAGAUAAGCGCUGAAAGCAUCUAAGCGCGAAACUUGCCUCAAGAUGAGUCUUCCCUGGGCCUUUAAGGCCCCUGAAGGAACGUUUAAGACUAAGACGUUGAUAGGCUGGGUGUGUAAGUGCAGCGAUGCAUUGAGCUAACCAGUACUAAUGAUCCGUGAGGCUUAACCUUACAACACCGAAGGUGUUUUAG
rnacentral:rRNA from 1 species